UCAUAUUUUUAAUCAUGAUCUUCUCAUCAGCUCUGCUUCUGCUGGCAGCAGCUGCAUCCUGUGGUGUUUUCUGUGUUGAGCUCACUCAACCUUCAUCUAUGGUUGUGAAACCUCAAGAAUCAUUCUCCAUCUCCUGCAGGAUUUCAGAAUCAAGCUAUUGCAUUAAUUGGAUCCGUCAACCCACUGGAAAAGCACUGGAAUGGCUUGGAUAUCUUUGUAGUGGUGGUGGCACUAACAUUAAAGACUCAGUGAAAAACAAGAUCAGUUUCACCCAGGACACGUCCAAAAACACAGUGUUUCUACAGGGGAAGAAUUUUGAGACUGAGGACUCAGCCGUGUAUUACUGUGCAAGAUACACACAGUGACUAA